GACCUUGACUACAAGAGUGUAAACACAACUGCGCCGUACAGAAUUCUAACUAAUAUUCAUACGAGGAUUUUUUAUUUUACACCCACAUGCUCACUCGGUGUGUUUGACGCUCAGCCAACAGCCACGGAGCGACAAAGGGAAAACUUAAGCUUACGAUUACGACGGGAGUUUGGUCUUGCCUUACCUGAUGACGAAGAGACGAGACCACCUACCGAAAACACCGAUGGCGCGGGCGGUGCGAAGCGGUGCGACAGGUAGUGGGCUGUGGGCUGUGAGCUCACUAUAAGACAUUAUUUUUGUAAAUCUCAGACGGUGUCACGCCCGUCGCCUGUAUUAUAUAAUAACUAGCAUAAAGGACUUUUCUAAGAGUGUACGUUAGAUGCGAUGCGCGCGUAUUGUAUAUUUCCGUUUCACUUGUACGUUUUUAUUUUCCACGGUUUUCUGCAAGUACAAAUUGUUUUUAUUUCCCUUUGUACAUAUUGUAUAUAGGAGAGUUAAGAUAUAUUAUAGGGAACCUAAUGGGUAACGUAUCUAUGUAUAAUGGUAUGAAAGAUUUUUUAUAUAUGUACAAUGUUUAUGUAUCUUAUUGAUAUAUUUAUUUAUUAUCGAUUUAUUCGAUAGUGCGUUUAGGGAAUGACGGCUAGGAUUUUUGUACGCAUAAUGUUUAAGUAAAUUAUAGUUGUUUUUAUUAUUUGUUUUAUGUUUUCUAGCAUAUAUAGGGGGUCCGAGGGCUCGUCCUAGUUCUAGGUCUCUUGUUAGUGUUAGAGGUUUCACGUGUAAUUUAGAGUCGUUUCAA